GCAGUCAUAGUUUAAUGCAAAACCCUAGAUUGUGAUUCUGAAAAUAGACGUUAAUCCCGUCUUGACUGCA
rnacentral:tRNA from 1 species